GACGAACGCUGGCGGCGUGCUUAACACAUGCAAGUCGAACGGAAAGGCCCUGCUUUUGUGGGGUGCUCGAGUGGCGAACGGGUGAGUAACACGUGAGUAACCUGCCCUUGACUUUGGGAUAACUUCAGGAAACUGGGGCUAAUACCGGAUAGGAGCUCCUGCUGCAUGGUGGGGGUUGGAAAGUUUCGGCGGUUGGGGAUGGACUCGCGGCGUAUCAGCUUGUUGGUGGGGUAGUGGCUUACCAAGGCUUUGACGGGUAGCCGGCCUGAGAGGGUGAGCGGCGACAUUGGGACUGAGAGAAGGCCCAGACUCCUAAGGGAGGCAGCAGGGGGGAAUAUUGCAGAAGGGGCGGAAGCCUGAUGCAGCAACGCCGCGUGCGGGAUGACGGCCUUCGGGUGGUAAACCGCUUUCGCCUGUGACGAAGCGUGAGUGACGGUAAUGGGUAAAGAAGCACCGGCUAACUACGUG
rnacentral:rRNA from 1 species